rnacentral:lncRNA from 1 species
ACGUACAGAACAGAUGUUCAGUGACAUACAGUGAGCUGAAGGAAGCACAUUUAUUUGGCUGCUCUAACAGACACCACGGAGAGGCGCGGAUACGCACACAGACAUUUGUGAGACGUGGCCCUCCUGCUUGCUGUGCUCCAGGACUCGGCCCAGGUGACGGCUGUGUCCUUCUGGUUCCUCUGGAUGACCGUCCAGCCCCCGCCGGUGGUGUUCAUCUCGCAGUACACCACGAGCUGGUGGAGGCCCU